AUGUUGGAGUGUGAGAGUCUGAGGGAGUAUCAGGAAGGAAUUUCCCCUACACAGAACCCCACAAACACUGCGGACAAGGAAAAAGAAGAACACCAGUGGGAGCUGGGAGAGCUGAUGAAGUUUAACGUUGAUGCUUUCAAGAGAUUCAAUAAAUACAUCAACACUGAUGCAAAGUUCCAGGUGUUCCUGAAACAGAUCAACAUGCUGGUGUGCUGUGUCACUCUGUCUCUGGACCAAUUUGAAAACCAGGUGGACAUGAAAGUGGCCGAGGUCCUGUCCGAGUGCUGCCUGCUUGCCUACAUAUCCCAGGUGCCCACGCAGAUGUCGUUCCUCUUCUGCCUCAUCAAUAUCAUCCAUGUACAGACACUAACCCAGGAGAACGUCAGCUGCCUCAACACCAGCAUGGUAACUCUGAUGCUGGCCAGACGGAAAGACUGGCUGCCCCUGUACCUGUGGAUGCUACAGCGAAUGGAGCACAGCAAGAAAUACCCCGGCUUCCUGCUCAACAACUUCCACAACCUGCUGCGCUCUUGGCAGCAGCAUUACCGGCACAAGGACAAGUACAGCACCUGCCUGGAGAAUAGCUCCCGCAUCAGCCUCUCAUACUGGAAGGAGACAGUGUCCAUCUUGUUGAACCCGGACCACCAGUUGCCCUUGACCAUGGUCAGCUACAUUGAGGAGCCCUACAUGGACAUAGACAGAGACUUCACUGAGGAGUGA